rnacentral:rRNA from 1 species
UGGGGAAUAUUGCACAAUGGGCGCAAGCCUGAUGCAGCCAUGCCGCGUGUAUGAAGAAGGCCUUCGGGUUGUAAAGUACUUUCAGUCGGGAGGAAGGUGUCAAGGUUAAUAACCUUGGCAAUUGACGUUACCGACAGAAGAAGCACCGGCUAACUCCGUGCCAGCAGCCGCGGUAAUACGGAGGGUGCAAGCGUUAAUCGGAAUUACUGGGCGUAAAGCGCACGCAGGCGGUUGAUUGAGUCAGAUGUGAAAUCCCCGGGCUUAACCCGGGAAUUGCAUCUGAUACUGGUCAGCUAGAGUCUUGUAGGGGGGGGUAGAAUUCCAUGUGUAGCGGUGAAAUGCGUAGAGAUGUGGAGGAAUACCGGUGGCGAAGGCGGCCCCCUGGACAAAGACUGACGCUCAGGUGCGAAAGCGUGGGGAGCAAACAGG